rnacentral:misc_RNA from 1 species
AAAAUACUGGAUUAUGGAUAUACAUGUAUAUUUAUUUUUUUCUCAUUAUACAUGAGUAAAUAUGACUCAUUGAUUUCGCUUAUUUUUAAAUGUUUUCAUGUGAUAAAAUUCCUUUUUAUUGUUUUUAAUUUUAUGGCAUAUCCGUCCAAUAUAUGUAUACUAUGUACUAAAAUAGUCCCAUUUGACACGAGUGAUCCUGAUUGUGAUGUUUUCUUUUACAUUAUAAACAUAUUUGUAUACUGUGUUAAUAGUUUGAUAGCUAUUGAUUUAUUUCUAUUUGUCGUUGUAUUGAACUUUGCACAAUAAAAUCAGUCUGUCUGUC